AUACGGAGGGGGCUAGCGUUGUUCGGAAUUACUGGGCGUAAAGCGCACGUAGGCGGCUAUCCAAGUUGGGGGUGAAAUCCCUGGGCUUAACCCAGGAACCGCCUUCAAAACUGGAUGGCUAGAGUCCGAGAGAGGUGAGUGGAAUUUCCAGUGUAGAGGUGAAAUUCGUAGAUAUUGGAAAGAACACCAGUGGCGAAGGCGGCUCACUGGCUCGGUACUGACGCUGAGGUGCGACAGCGUGGGGAGCAAACAGGAUUAGAUACCCUGGUAGUCCACGCCGUAAACGAUGGGUGCUAGUUGUCAGGCAGCUUGCUGUUUGGUGACGCAGCUAACGCAUUAAGCACCCCGCCUGGGGAGUACGGUCGCAAGAUUAAA
rnacentral:rRNA from 1 species